rnacentral:rRNA from 1 species
CCUACGGGAGGCAGCAGUGAGGAAUAUUGGUCAAUGGGCGCGAGCCUGAACCAGCCAAGUCGCGUGAAGGAAGACGGUCCUAUGGACUGUAAACCUCUUUUGUCGGGGAGCAAUAGACGCCACGCGUGGCGUUCCGAGAAUACCCUAAGAAAAAGCCUCGGCUAACUCCAUGCCAGCAGCCGCGGUAAUACGCAGGAUUCGAUCGUUAUCCGGAUUUAUUGGGUUAAAAGGGUUCGUAGGCGGAAGAUGAAGUCAGCGGUAAAAUUGCGGGGCUCAACCUCGUCGAGCCGUUGAAACUGGGUGCCGUGAGUGGGCGAGAAGUACGCGGAAUGCGUGGUGUAGCGGUGAAAUGCAUAGAUAUCACGCAGAACUCCGAUUGCGAAGGCAGCGUACCGGCGCCCAACUGACGCUGAAGCACGAAGGCGUGGGUAUCGAACAGGAUUAGAUACCCUUGUAGUC